AAUGCUUUACAGGAAAUCAAUUUUAGUAAGGAAAAUUAGAAAGCCUCUUUUAAGUAAAUAUAAUAAUGUUCAUGAUAAUAAAACAAUAGGAACAUUCCCUCAAAAUUAAAACAAUAUUUAGCGCAUAAGUUUAUAAAUUUCUAUUCACUAACCACUGCUGAUUUAGCAGAAAAAAAUAAGCAGAAAACUUUCAGUCUCUGUUUCCCAAGAAGUUUGGUUCAAUCUACCACUGCCAUUCUUACAAAGGAGCCAUUUCAUGUGUAUUUUGAAUGCCUUGCUUGUUUUCAAAUACAAUGUAAUAACACAUUUGUUCCUGAAAGUCUUAAGAUUGCUUAAAUUGUAUAGGGAAAGAAGGCCUAUAGCCAGACUUUUGAGAAAAGAUAACUGAUAUUAUAGAUUAC
rnacentral:lncRNA from 1 species